ACACGGAGGGCGCAAGCGUUGCUCGGAAUCACUGGGCGUAAAGCGGGUGUAGGCGGUCUAGCAAGUCAGAUGUGAAAGCCCACGGCUCAACCGUGGAAGUGCAUCUGAAACUGCUAGACUUGAGUGCCGGAGAGGGAAGUGGAAUUCCUGGUGUAGGGGUGAAAUCCGUAGAUAUCAGGAGGAACACCGGUGGCGAAGGCGACUUCCUGGACGGCCACUGACGCUGAGACCCGAAAGCGUGGGGAGCAAACAGGAUUAGAUACCCCUGUAGUCC
rnacentral:rRNA from 1 species